GCUUACGGCCCAUACCUCUCUGGCUCCGCCUGAUCUCGUCAUGAUCUCAGAAGCUAAGCAGAGUAGGGCCUGGUUAGUACUUGGAUGGAAGACCGCCUGGGAAUCCCAGUGUGCCGUAAAGCU
ensembl:rRNA 5S_rRNA 5S ribosomal RNA